AGAGUUUGAUCCUGGCUCAGAAUGAACGUUGGCGGCGUGGAUUAGGCAUGCAAGUCGAGCGUACCCAGCAAUGGGGAAGCGGCAAACGGGGUAGUAAGGCGUCGGUACGUGCCCUCGGGACGAGGAUAGCCACGGGAAACUGUGGGUAAUACUCGAUGUCAUCGUGAGAUCAAAGGUGUGAUUCCGCCCGGGGAGCGGCUGACGUGGUAUUAGGUAGUUGGUGGGGUAAUGGCCCACCAAGCCUGGGAUGCCUAGGGGGUGUGAGAGCAUGGCCCCCACCAUUGGGACUGAGAUACUGCCCAGACACCUACGGGUGGCUGCAGUCGAGGAUCUUCGGCAAUGGGCGCAAGCCUGACCGAGCGACGCCGCGUGCGGGAUGAAGGCCUUCGGGUUGUAAACCGCUGCCAGGGGGGAUGAAAUCAUGGUGGGUUCUCCCAUCAUGUUGACAGAGCCCCAGAGGAAGCGCGGGCUAAGUUCGUGCCAGCAGCCGCGGUAAUACGAACUGCGCGAACGUUAUUCGGAAUCACUGGGCUUACAGGGUGCGUAGGCGGCGAAGAAAGUAGGGUGUGAAAUGCCUUGGCUCAACCAAGGCACUGCGCUCUAAACUCCUUUGCUUGAGUGAGUCAGGGGUACGCGGAACUUCCGGUGGAGCGGUGAAAUGUGUUGAUAUCGGAAGGAACACCGGUGGCGAAAGCGGCGUACUGGGGCUUAACUGACGCUGAGGCACGAAAGCCAGGGUAGCGAACGGGAUUAGAUACCCCGGUAGUCCUGGCUGUAAACGAUGAGCACUGGACGGGAGGGGCUUCGGCCUCUCCGGUCGUAGCGAAAGCGUUAUGUGCUCCGCAUGGGGAGUAUGGUCGCAAGGCUGAAACUCAAAGGAAUUGACGG
rnacentral:rRNA from 1 species